UACGUAGGGUGCAGGUGUUAAUCGGAAUUACUGGGCGUAAAGCGUGCGCAGGCGGUUUGCUAAGACAGGUGUGAAAUCCCCGGGCUUAACCUGGGAACUGCGCUUGUAACUGGCAAGCUAGAGUGUGGCAGAGGGGGGUGGAAUUCCACGUGUAGCAGUGAAAUGCGUAGAGAUGUGGAGGAACACCGAUGGCGAAGGCAGCCCCCUGGGCUAACACUGACGCUCAUGCACGAAAGCGUGGGGAGCAAACAGG
rnacentral:rRNA from 1 species